rnacentral:rRNA from 1 species
UAUUCGCCUGGGGACUACGAGCACCAGCUUAAAACCCAAAGGACUUGGCGGUGCUUUAGAUCCACCUAGAGGAGCCUGUUCUAGAACCGAUAAUCCCCGUUAAACCUCACCUUUCCUUGUCUUUUUCCGCCUAUAUACCGCCGUCGUCAGCUUACUCUAUGAAGAACCUGCAGUAGGCACAAUCGGUACAGCCCAAAACGCCAGGUCGAGGUGUAGCGUAUGGAAAGGGAAGAAAUGGGCUACAUUCAAUGUUUUAUUGAAUACGGAUGACACCCUGAAAAAAUGUCUGAAGGAGGAUUUAGCAGUAAGCAGGGAAUAGAGAGCCCUGCUGAAACUGGCCCUGAAGCGCGCACACACCGCCCGUCACUCUCCCCGAGCUAAUAAACUUUUAUUAACUAAAAAACAAAACCUGUAAAGGGGAGGCAAGUCGUAACAUGGUAAGUGUACCGGAAGGUGCACUUGGAUAAACUCAUGGUAUAGCUUAACAUUAAAGCAUCUCCUUUACACCGAGAUGAUACUCGUGAAAAUCGGGUUACCUUGAAGCCCAAUAGCUAGCCCAACCCCCCUAAACACAAUAAAAACCCCUUAAUAACCCCACAAGCACCAAAAAUGCAAAACAAACCAUUUUUCCCUCUUAGUAUAGGAGAUAGAAAAGAGCCCCGGCGCAAUAGAGAAAGUACCGCAAGGGAAAGCUGAAAGAGAAAUG